UCUCAAAUUUUCUGCAUCUAUUAUAUUUUCUUUGCAUCCAAACACUCCUUAUUCCUUCAAUUUUGUAAGAAAAUCACUCUUCUCUAAUUUCUCACCUAAAUUUAGCUUGUUUUUGCUCAAUUGGUACAAAUUCAUGGAGGUUUUUGAGUUAAAGCUAAAAACGUUGGUGGAGCCUCAACAAACAGGGAUAAAGGCAAGCGAAAAGUUGUCUAGUUCAACGCGUCGUGGUGAGCUAUAGGUAAAUAGUUCCCGAGUUAGUGAGGAGGGUGGCAAACGGUGAUCCAUCGCAUGCCAUUUUCUUUGAGUAUGUGUGUUGAGCUUUUAAUCUCUGAAGUGAAGGCAAUGUGGGUCGUUCCAAGGGUGUAGUACUUGAAUUAGACUUAAACUUUUAAAUAAAAUUUUCAAUGUGUUG